UACGGAGGAUGCAAGCGUUAUCCGGAAUGGUUGGGCGUAAAGCGUCCGCAGGUGGCAAUGUAAGUCUGCUGUUAAAGAGUGAGGCUCAACCUCAUAAGAGCAGUGGAAACUACAUAGCUAGAGUGCGUUCGGGGCAAAGGGAAUUCCUGGUGUAGCGGUGAAAUGCGUAGAGAUCAGGAAGAACACCGGUGGCGAAAGCGCUUUGCUAGGCCGCAACUGACACUGAGGGACGAAAGCUAGGGGAGCGAAUGGG
rnacentral:rRNA from 1 species